UUGAACGCUGGCGGCAGGCCUAACACAUGCAAGUCGAGCGGAUGAAGGGAGCUUGCUCCUGGAUUCAGCGGCGGACGGGUGAGUAAUGCCUAGGAAUCUGCCUGGUAGUGGGGGAUAACGUCCGGAAACGGGCGCUAAUACCGCAUACGGCCUGAGGGAGAAAGUGGGGGAUCUUCGGACCUCACGCUAUCAGAUGAGCCUAGGUCGGAUUAGCUAGUUGGUGGGGUAAAGGCCUGCCAAGGCGACGAUCCGUAACUGGUCUGAGAGGAUGAUCAGUCACACUGGAACUGAGACACGGUCCAGACUCCUACGGGAGGCAGCAGUGGGGAAUAUUGGACAAUGGGCGAAAGCCUGAUCCAGCCAUGCCGCGUGUGUGAAGAAGGUCUUCGGAUUGUAAAGCACUUUAAGUUGGGAGGAAGGGCAGUAAGUUAAUACCUUGCUGUUUCGACGUUACCAACAGAAUAAGCACCGGCUAACUUCGUG
rnacentral:rRNA from 1 species